GCCCACAGCCAUACCACCCUGAAUGCACCCCGAUCUUGUCUGAUCUCAGAAGCUAAGCAGGGUCAUGCCUGGUUUAGCACUUGGAUGGGAGAUGUAUGAGGAGUUUCAGCAGACCAGUGUGGCU
rnacentral:rRNA from 1 species